GGUCUGGCUGGCCGGUCUGCCUCACCGCAUGCACUGGUUCGGUCGGAUCUUUCCUUCUGGGGAAUCCCAUGCCCUUCACUGGGCGUGUGGGGGAACCAGGACUUUUACUUUGAAAAAAUUAGAGUGUUCAAAGCAGGCCUUUGCUCGAAUACAUUAGCAUGGAAUAAUGGAAUAGGACGU
rnacentral:rRNA from 1 species